UACGUAGGGUGCGAGCGUUAAUCGGAAUUACUGGGCGUAAAGCGUGCGCAGGCGGUUUUGUAAGCCAGAUGUGAAAUGCCCGGGCUUAACCUGGGAACUGCAUUUGUGACUGCAUGGCUAGAGUUUGGCAGAGGGGGGUAGAAUUCCACGUGUAGCAGUGAAAUGCGUAGAUAUGUGGAGGAACACCGAUGGCGAAGGCAGCCCCCUGGGUCAAGACUGACGCUCAUGCACGAAAGCGUGGGGAGCAAACAGG
rnacentral:rRNA from 1 species